GAUGAAGAACGUAGCGAAAUGCGAUAAGUAAUGUGAAUUGCAGAAUUCAGUGAAUCAUCGAAUCUUUGAACGCACCUUGCGCUCCUUGGUAUUCCGAGGAGCAUGCCUGUUUGAGUGUCAUGAAAUUCUCAACCUUUUCAGCUUUCUUUGUUGAUCAGGCUUGGAUGUGGGAGUAUGCGGGCUUCUCAGAAGUCGGCUCUCCUGAAAUGCAUUAGCGGGACCUUUGUUGCCUGGCUUUGGUGUGAUAAUUAUCUACGCCAUUGUAGUCAAGCAGCUUAAAAUGAGGUUUCAGCUUCUAACCGUCUCCCCUGAGACAACUUUUUGACAAUUUGACCUCAAAUCAGGUAGGACUACCCGCUGAACUUAAGCAUAUCAAUAAGCGGAGGC
rnacentral:misc_RNA from 1 species